AUUGAACGCUGGCGGCAGGCCUAACACAUGCAAGUCGAGCGGAUGAAGGGAGCUUGCUCCUGGAUUCAGCGGCGGACGGGUGAGUAAUGCCCAGGAAUCUGCCUGGUAGUGGGGGAUAACGUCCGGAAACGGGCGCUAAUACCGCAUACGUCCUGAGGGAGAAAGUGGGGGAUCUUCGGACCUCACGCUAUCAGAUGAGCCUAGGUGGGAUUAGCUAGUUGGUGGGGUAAAGGCCUACCAAGGCGACGAUCCGUAACUGGUCUGAGAGGAUGAUCAGUCACACGGGAACUGAGACACGGUCCAGACUCCUACGGGAGGCAGCAGUGGGGAAUAUUGGACAAUGGGCGAAAGCCUGAUCCAGCCAUGCCGCGUGUGUGAAGAAGGUCUUCGGAUUGUAAAGCACUUUAAGUUGGGAGGAAGGGCAGUAAGUUAAUACCUUGCUGUUUUGACGUUACCAACAGAAUAAGCACCGGCUAACUUCGUG
rnacentral:rRNA from 1 species